AUGGCGAUGAGGUGCCUCUCUUCUCUCCCUCUCCUCUCCGCAUCCGGCUCCGGAAAGGCCUGCGCUGUGGUCAGAGCGCAUCACACUCCCUCUGCUGCCGCGCACCGCCGGAUCCGGACUCACAUGUCGGUGGCCACCGGCGGUGAGCAGGCCCUGACGGCCAAGGAGCAGUCCCAGGAACCUGACUAUGGAGUUGUUAGUAUGCACCAUGUUGGAAUACUAUGUGAAAAUCUUGAAAGGUCGAUGGCAUUCUACCAGGACCUCCUUGGUCUUAAGGUGAAUCCUGCUAGGCCAAAUGACAAGCUUCCGUACAGAGGUGCUUGGCUCUGGGUUGGUUCUGAGAUGAUCCACUUGAUGGAGCUGCCAAAUCCAGAUCCACUGACAGGACGCCCAGAGCAUGGUGGGCGUGAUCGUCAUACCUGUAUAGCAAUCAGAGAUGUCUUGAAGUUGAAAGAAAUCUUUGACAAAGCUGGAAUCAGCUACACGCUCAGCAAAUCCGGGCGACCAGCGAUCUUUGCACGAGACCCGGAUGGAAACGCGUUGGAAUUUACACAAGUGUAA
rnacentral:rRNA from 1 species